UACGGAGGGUGCGAGCGUUGUCCGGAAUUAUUGGGCGUAAAGAGCUCGUAGGCGGUCUGUCGCGUCGGCUGUGAAAACCCGGGGCUCAACCCCGGGCCUGCAGUCGAUACGGGCAGACUAGAGUGCGGUAGGGGAGACUGGAAUUCCUGGUGUAGCGGUGAAAUGCGCAGAUAUCAGGAGGAACACCGGUGGCGAAGGCGGGUCUCUGGGCCGUAACUGACGCUGAGGAGCGAAAGCGUGGGGAGCGAACAGG
rnacentral:rRNA from 1 species